rnacentral:rRNA from 1 species
AGCGAACGCUGGCGGCAGGCUUAACACAUGCAAGUCGAGCGGGCGUAGCAAUACGUCAGCGGCAGACGGGUGAGUAACGCGUGGGAACGUACCUUUUGGUUCGGAACAACACAGGGAAACUUGUGCUAAUACCGGAUAAGCCCUUACGGGGAAAGAUUUAUCGCCGAAAGAUCGGCCGCGUCUGAUUAGCUAGUUGGUGAGGUAACGGCUCACCAAGGCGACGAUCAGUAGCUGGUCUGAGAGGAUGAUCAGCCACAUUGGGACUGAGACACGGCCCAAACUCCUACGGGAGGCAGCAGUGGGGAAUAUUGGACAAUGGGCGCAAGCCUGAUCCAGCCAUGCCGCGUGAGUGAUGAAGGCCCUAGGGUUGUAAAGCUCUUUUACCCGAGAUGAUAAUGACAGUAUCGGGAGAAUAAAGCUCCGGCUAACUCCGUGCCAGCAGCCGCGGUAAU